AGAGUUUGAUCCUGGCUCAGGACGAACGCUGGCGGCGUGCCUAAUACAUGCAAGUAGAACGCUGAAGGAGGAGCUUGCUUCUCUGGAUGAGUUGCGAACGGGUGAGUAACGCGUAGGUAACCUGCCUGGUAGCGGGGGAUAACUAUUGGAAACGAUAGCUAAUACCGCAUAAUAUUGAUUAUUGCAUGAUAGUCAAUUAAAAGGUGCAAUUGCAUCACUACCAGAUGGACCUGCGUUGUAUUAGCUAGUUGGUGAGGUAACGGCUCACCAAGGCGACGAUACAUAGCCGACCUGAGAGGGUGAUCGGCCACACUGGGACUGAGACACGGCCCAGACUCCUACGGGAGGCAGCAGUAGGGAAUCUUCGGCAAUGGACGGAAGUCUGACCGAGCAACGCCGCGCGAGUGAAGAAGGUUUUCGGAUCGUAAAGCUCUGUUGUAAGAGAAGAACGAGUGUGAGAGUGGAAAGUUCACACUGUGACGGUAUCUUACCAGAAAGGGACGGCUAACUACGUGCCAGCAGCCGCGGU
rnacentral:rRNA from 1 species